AUCAUGUGCUGCGGGACGGUGGAUGGAUCACGUGACUCACUAUCACAGGGUGAGGAGCCCUGGAGAGAGAUCAUCCGUUUCACCUGGACCUCACGUGCUAUUAGAUGCGCUGGCAACAGAUGGUGUCCAGGAGGCGGGAACGGCCCCUGACGGGACAGAUGGGGGACGCUGGUCCCAUUAACUCUCACGUAAGGGCAGAUCGCCACCUCGCCCAGCCCCCCUGCGUGGAUGGUGCGCACACAGAUUUCUCUUAUGACCCCAGGCUGAGGAGUGAGGAUGCUACAACUUACAGAUUUUCCCUAAACGCCUCGCAUGCAAGCAACAGGUAAAUGCUACAAUUUACAAAUGUUCCCUAAACGCCUCACAUGCAGGCAACUGGUAGAUUAUACAAUGAACAGAUGUUCUCUGAAUGCCUCUUAUGCAGGCAACAGGUAGAGCCUACAAUUUACAGGGAGGGUGUUAUUGACCUUUACAUGCUGGAUGUGAUCUGUGAGAAAAGAGAGGUUCCAUUUAAUAAUGAAGGAGGUGACACUCGUCUGUUUAAUUCUCUGAAUCAAUAGAUGAAGCUGCAGGUUGAACUGAAAUCAAGUCAGCAAAUACUCCAGAGUCAGAUGCAGCAUAAUCAGUGCUCUUCCUCUGUCUACAGACACACUGCAGAGGAUCUGACAGUGCAUUUAUUUUUUGAAGUUAAAGUUGUCGGUCUGAGUCUCAAAUCUGAAGGUUUUCCUCCAGAUAUGUUUUAAAUUCUGUAAAAAUCCUCCUGCUAUGAUUCAUAUUUAGUUCAACAUGUUUUCACACAUAAAAACUGGGUCUGAAGCUCAUCUGCUCUCACUUCCUGGUUGAGAAAUCUGGAUCAGGCCUUGA